GCCGCGCCCACUCGCUCAAUUUCCUUUCCGCUUUCCACCCCGCCCUCCGCCGCCCCCAGCCAGCCAGGUACCUCCCGGCCGCUCCGGGGUCCCUCGAGACUGUCCCCUCGGGGCAGCACCCGCGCUGCCAGGGGCGCUCCUGGGGAUCUCGGGCGUCCGACGCGCUACUGCGGAACAGGUUUCCAGCCUGCGGGAACCCAGCGGGCGACGGAGCGUGAGACGGGCCCUCGGAUUGGAUGCCGCAGCCGCGGUCGAUGUAACUCCCUUUCCGAUUGGUUGGAUUCAGUCCAUACCUUUUUAUUAGGAGCCUCUGGCCCAACAUUGACCAAGCAGCAUUGACCUCAAGACAGCUUGGAGCCAGGCAAGGCCGCAGCGGGCCUCUCUCAUGGAUCGCUCAGCGUCAGAAGUCGGUGGCCAUGUCAUAAGGACACUCAUGCAACUCCAUGAAUGGCACCUCCUGGGAAGGAGCUGAGGUCUCCUGCCAACAGCCAGACGAGGGAGCCGUCUUGGAAGCAGCUUCUGCAACCAGAGGAGCCUUCUGGUGCCUCCAACUCUGCCUUGUGUAACUGCAGCCUCACGGGGGAGCCUGAGCCAGUAUUCCAUGGCAUUGAAACCGUGGCCAGCACUGCACAGGACCGGCUUCCCAGGUGGCACAGUGGUAAGGAGUCCCUCUGCCAGGGCAGGAGAUGCAGGAGACUCGGGUUCAGUCCCUGGGUCUGGAAGAUCCCCUGGAGAAGGAAAUGGUAACCCGCUCCAGUAUGC